GAUUUAUGCAAAUUAGAUUACUUGUGACGUCACAUUGUGUACUUCUUUGUAUGCAUUUAUCGGUCAUGCACUGAUUGACUGUAUUACUUGAAUUGCUUGUAUCAGUGUUAUAAAGACGAAAGAUCACGAGCCACCACAUCCACAAAGCAAACAUUCGGUCAAUCCGACACGGAUGGCGAGAGGGGAAUCACUUCCUCCUCCUCGGGCAAUGAAGGCAACAGGUCGAGCAGCGACGAACAGAUGCUUUAUGAAAGUCAAGCCCAGCGAAAGCAAGUGCAAACCAAAGGUGGUAAACAGGCAGUGUUUUCAAUAAGGGCCGGCGGCCGGCGAAACUCGCAGGCUACUUCACACCAACUCGCCGCCUACUUUGAAAAUAAAUAAAUAGUGAAUAUUUCCACGCGCUCUCGAGGUCACGUAGAGUUCACUACUUUUGAAUAAAUUACACACAUGUUUUUGUGUACCGUUGAAUAAAAAGAGUUCAAAAUUAAUGAUGUCUGUGUUCUGUUCGAAUAGCCUUAUUCAUGCCCCAGAAAGCAGGAAAUGCAUUCUAAGAGACCCAAAUAUUCAAAAUUUUCCGGGGAAACAUGCCCCCGGACCCCCCUAGAACGCUCGGCGCUCGCUAAAGACGCCUUUGGCGUCUGUCAGUAUCUCUACGCCUACUUCUCAAAUUCUGCCAUCUACUCCAUUUCUUAUUGAAAACCCUGCCAGGUAACCACAGAAAACAAGAAAUGGGAACUGAAGAACCAAAGCAGUGAGCCAAGAAG